GUUGCGGCAGCGGUGUAGGCGAGCGAGGCAGAGGAGCGGUCAACACCGGCGUCGAGGGCAAGGUAGGCCGGGCGCAGUGUCCUCCGGCGUGUGGUGGCGCAUUGGACGGCGCAGGAGGCUGGGCGCGUCGAUUCGGGUGAGGGGAGUGGGGUCCAGAUCUGGUCGAGGACGGGGCAACCGGCGGCGGCGGCGUGGCUGACGCUGGACGGAGAGAGAGGCAGAGCAAGGCACGCCGAAUCGCUGGAUGGCGCACCUCCCCUAGCCUCCUUCCUCUCCCGGUCGUUGGGGAAGCAGGACGGCCACCUCUGCUGGACGCCCUUCCCUGGUCGACGACGAGCGUUGCGGGCUGACACGGUGGCGCUCUUCCGUUGUGGAGUACCGUACUAGGACGACGGCGGUUAAGGUCAACACCCUGCUCGACGCCCCCAUCUGCUGCUCGAUGCGCCCAUCCCCUCGCUGGUUGAGCUCAACGCCACCUUGCUCUGCCUCCGGCAGUCAUCUCAUCCAAUCUGGCUGGUCCGCUCCCCACCUCGGCGGAUCCUUCAGUCCGGCAGCACACCACGCUCAAGCCUCCACCACCCCAACUCCUCAAGUUACAGUAGACAAGGAGCUCCGCUCUACCUCUCAUCUCUCUCCCUGUCCUGGUGGUCACGGGCUGAUGUUGCUGCUCCUCUCCUUCAGGAUCUAUCUCUUUCUCUUUGUCUCUCACCCUCUCAUGGAUUGACAACUGCAUUCUUCCCAAAUUAAUGUGUGCCUCUGUUCUUGAUAUUACGCCCACACCAUGUUUGAUGUUAUGCUUAUGAGGAGUUGAACUUCAUUUUUUUUCAGGCUUUUCUUUGGUGUAUCAGGCAUUCAGGCUGGUGUAAUUUGUUUUCAAAAGUGAACAUGUUGUACAGUCCAAUGUAUCUACAAAAAUUAAGUUAUGAUUCCUGAAACACUGUCCAGAAUUCCACUGCUACAGAAUUGAAAUUCGAUUAGCACAUGAACAAGGACGGAUCCAAGGUUGAGUACUGGGUGUGGAACCCCUUCAGAUCCAAGUUGGCUGCUGUUGUACUCUGGUGUGGACAACAUCUGGAUUGUAUGUCUUUUUUGAUGAUUCCUUCCGGCGCCCUGUCAUACUCAUUGCUCUUCAGUUAACGAAAUGAAUGCACAGCAGCAACACAGGCAGUAGCAGAAUGGGGUAUAAUGAAUGUUUUGUUUGAGUCUGACUGUCAAACGCUGGUUCGUGUUUCUAGAUUUUCUAGCUAAGGGCUGGUUUUGUUUAGCUGGAACACAAAUCACGAUCAGAUGUACCUAUUAUGACGAUUUCGGAUCCGUGCUAACUAUUUCUAAUUUUGAAAUUAUUCCUCAGAACACA